rnacentral:rRNA from 1 species
CUCCUCUCUCUAAUCAGUGAAACUGAUCUUCCCGUGAAGAAGCGGGAAUAAACCUAUAAGACGAGAAGACCCCAUGGAGCUUUAAGCUAGCUUCACACCUAUUUUAUAUAUCUUCUAAUUAAAUAGAACACUGCCUGCUCAGCUUUAGGUUGGGGUGACCGCGGAGCAUAACAUAACUUCCACGAUGUACAAAACUAUUUUUUAUCUAAGAAUUACUAUUCUAAGAAUUAGCAUUCUAACAUAUGAUGAUCCGAUAAUCGAUCAACGGACCAAGUUACCCUGGGGAUAACAGCGCAAUCCAUUUCAAGAGCCCCUAUCGACAAAUGGG